CAUUAGAUCACCAAUCAUGGCUGCAAGCUCAUAACUAUGUCUUGUAUAACUCUGACAACACAGAACUUUUUCUGAAAGAACACAUUGAUUACCUUUCAUCUGUUGGUAACCGAAGUAGCCAACAAAUCAACUUCAACGCCACGAGACAUUCCAUGAAUGGUUUCGACUUCAACUGCCUCGAGGAUGACCAUGUGGCGGCGCUGCGUCCGAACACCACACGCUGCAGACGCUGCCCCCCCCCCGCCUCCCAAGCCCCGGCCUUGGCUCCCCAGGCGGUCUUCUCGGUUCGUCCUCUGGUCGAGCGCGUGAUUAUCCCGCGUUCCCCGGCGGUCCAAACCAAGACGCGGAAGAUGGUCUUCGCUGGAGUUUGGUGGUCUCCCUGUCUGGCGAGAGAAGGCGCGUCCCGGCAUCGGAGGUCAGAGGAGUGAUCAGUCGGCUCUGCCCGGCGGUGGCAGAUCACUUCUCCCUCCGGCCAUUUUGGCCUGCAGAAUUCCUCUGCAUCCUCGAUUCCCGUGGUGCGCGUGAUGCUCAUGUUGAUGCGUGACAACACCAGUGCCGCCACAGGUGGAGGCCUCAAUGAGGGAGGCAUGAGCAGCGACGAUGGCCUCGGCGAUUGUCUCCAAAAUUGGCGCUGCUAAAGUCGGGUCUGUGUGGAGCCUGCGACCAAACCCGGCGAAUUGGCGCUGAACAAAGCUGAAGAGAUGACCUGGAGUCCAUUGAAUAUCUUCUUUUGUAUUUUCUUAGAGGAAGGGUUUAAAAGCUGCCACAAAGAAGCAGAAGUAUGAGAAAAUAAGUGAGAAGAAGCUUUCAACACCUAUCGAGGUUUCAUGUAAAUCCCAUCCUAUGGAACUCGUUUCUUACUUCCACCGUUGACAUUUGAUCAACAACCAGACUAUGGUUUUCUGCGAUCAUUAGAGAUCUGUCUGACCGUGAAGGUAUAGCAUCAGAAGCACUACUCUUUUUUUUUAUAAUCACUUAUCUCCAGUCAUUAAUCCACAUCGAAACCAUUACAAGCAUUUACAAUAUCUCCUAACACCUCAGAAGGAAACCACCAGACAGAUGAGCACGACUAAAUUGAGCCAGAAUAUGGGCCCCAAUAUUUUGGGAACGCGCCACCUUCGCAAUUCCCCCGACCUGGGCCCGGAGGAGAAGAAGUCUGGUUUCUUCAAUAGCUUGAAACCAACGGGCUUUGAUUCUAUAUUUGGACUUCAGUGCUUCGAUCACAUCAAGACAAUCGGUCUCCAGGUAGAACGGCUUGUUCAGGUUUUCUACUGCAAUACUGACAGGCAAGCGAUUCAGCUUCAGUUGCACUUUCCACUCACAGGAGGCUGCCCCAAGCAGAAAAGACCACCCGGCCAUCACGAUCCAUCGCCACAGCACCCCAUGAGGCCGCAUCCUCACCUGCAACGAGGCUUGCAUCUGUGCUCAGUUUGAUCAAGGUCAUCCUGGAGAGACAACAGGAAAUUCGCAGAGUCGUUGAUUGAUUUGUCUCCUUUUCCAAAAAUUACGUCAUUACGCAGAAACCAUGUCCGCCGCCAGAAUAAGAGUAAAUUCCUUCUAACAUCAAUCGCUGAAUUGGCAAGUAGUACCAGAACCCAGUCACAUCCAGAAUUCAGGAGAUCAUGCUCCUCUGGCAAGCUCCAGUGAACGCGGAGAGCAUCUCGGAGAGCUUUGGCUUUGGUGCAGCGAAUGACUUCAUGGAAUCCAUCUUCCUCUUCCAUCCCACAAAUAGAGCAGGUAGGUUGUUCCUUUUUUAAACGUCUGCUUCUAGAUUGUUGAACAGCCAACGAAUUGGUAGCCAACUUCCAGGCGAACAUCCUGACUUUAGGCAGCACGGGCGCCUUACAAACCAGAUUCCAAAGGCUACGAUCCCCGCCAGGACUCACACUGGAUCCGGUCUGGGAAUCAAGAUUUUGCAGGUCAAGAGCAAGCUUAUAAGCACUUCUUACCGUGAAAUUGCCAAACUUUUCCGGAAACCACGCUACGAGGUCGUCCCCAGAAUAAUUAGGUAGGCGAAUCUUGAGAAUCUCUUCCGCAUGGUGUUGUUGCAUAACAGACCGGAUCAGAGGCUUGUUCCAAGAUUUGUUGUCUGGCAAAAUUCUUGAAACCCAUCUUAAUCUUGAGCGUUUAGUGGGAGUUUUCUGAACACCUUUAGGGAUCCAGCUGUCCCUCCAGAUCCUCACUUUUUCUCCAUAGUUUAUUCUGCAAAUCAAACUCUUAAUUAAUUCAAGCCCAUGAACUAUGCCUUGUCAGCAUUGUGAUGCGUUUAUUCCGCAAAUCAAACUCUUAAGUAAUUCAAGCCCAUGAACUAUGCCUUGUCAGCAUUGUGAUGCGUUGUGGAUAAAUGCCGUGUCCGUCAGAUCACCGUGGGGAUAGUACCUCGCGUUGAGAAGCUUCGCACAUAGACUGUCAGGUUGGUCAAUCAGCCGCCAUGCCUGUCUUGCCAGGAGGGCCUGGUUAAACAACUUCAGGUCUCUGAAACCAACCCCUCCCCUGCAUUUCGGAUUUAUAAGCCUCUCCCAGCUCAGCGAAUGUACUUCGGUCCUGUCAUUUUCACCGCCCCACCAAAAUCUACGUGUCUGCUGCAUCCCCCCCAUCAGAAGCACUAUCCAUUAUGUAUUAUAUGAUAUAUGCUCUGUAACUUGUUUAGUUGUUGGUCGACUGUAGGUUACCAGUUUGACCAUGGCUUCGACUGGACAUUGUUGAAGUGUAAGCAGAUCCAGAAGGUGAAGGCUCAACGGGUAGUCUAAGCAAGUAAUUGAAUGGCAGUACAUGGCACGAUACAGUGACGUUACCCUUUUUUAUCUAUUAUGCUACUCAUAGUGGAAGUAAUUUAGGUAGUAACAUAAGUACCAACUAGAUAUUUUCAUGACAUGACAUGGUAAUAAAUGAAGAAUCUAUUAUGCUACUCAUAGUGGGAGUAACUUAGGUAAUAACAUAAGUGACAACUAGGCAUUUCGAUGACAUGGCAUGGUAAUAAAUGAAAAAAAAAGAGUAAGGCGGUAACUAAAUAUGUUAAUAAAUAUGACAUCACACAAAUCAAGACAAAAUGAGUCUAUAUCAUAAUAAAUGACACAAUGCAUGACACUACAAAUAAAUUAUUACCCACUUUGGAGGUAGUAACUUAGAAUAGUAACAUACAUAUGUUACUACUUCAAGUUACUCCCACCAGCCUUCCUAUAUUUGACUGACUUGCUGAUUUUGCUCUUUUUUAUCAAUGACAGCAAGAUCCAGGUGUAAGCAGCAUGCAGAUUCCAAUGAAUAUGGACAAACAUCAAGUUUGAUAUUUUUCUGCUGUAUCAGUGCUGUUAAGCAUUAAAAUUAUUUUUGAAUAUCAUUGCUUCCCUUGUUAUAGUGAAUUAUAGGCUUGAUUAGAAAAAACUC